GAUGAACGCUGGCGGCGUGCCUAAUACAUGCAAGUCGAGCGAACGGACGAGAAGCUUGCUUCUCUGAUGUUAGCGGCGGACGGGUGAGUAACACGUGGAUAACCUACCUAUAAGACUGGGAUAACUUCGGGAAACCGGAGCUAAUACCGGAUAAUAUUUUGAACCGCAUGGUUCAAAAGUGAAAGACGGUCUUGCUGUCACUUAUAGAUGGAUCCGCGCUGCAUUAGCUAGUUGGUAAGGUAACGGCUUACCAAGGCAACGAUGCAUAGCCGACCUGAGAGGGUGAUCGGCCAUACUAGAACUGAGACACGGUCCAGACUCCUACGGGAGGCAGCAGUAGGGAAUCUUCCACAAUGGGCGAAAGCCUGACGGAGCAACGCGGCGUGGGUGAGGAAGGUCUGCGGAGCGUAAGACUCUGUUACUAGGGAAGAACAAAUGUGUAAGUAACUGUGCACAUCUUGACGGUACCUAAUCAGAAAGCCACGGCUAACUACGUG
rnacentral:rRNA from 1 species